rnacentral:rRNA from 1 species
UACGUAGGGUGCAAGCGUUAAUCGGAAUUACUGGGCGUAAAGCGUGCGCAGGCGGUUUUGUAAGUCUGUUGUGAAAUCCCGGGCUCAACCUGGGAAUGGCAAUGGAGACUGCAAGGCUAGAGUGUGUCAGAGGGGGGUAGAAUUCCACGUGUAGCAGUGAAAUGCGUAGAUAUGUGGAGGAAUACCGAUGGCGAAGGCAGCCCCCUGGGAUAACACU